rfam:Phormidium ambiguum IAM M-71 NIES-2119_Scaffold_44, whole genome shotgun sequence.
GGGAGCCGUGUGCGGGGAAACUUGCACGCACGGAUCUAAAGGAGAGGGGCGGGAAAUAAUAUUCCCCCUCGACUCCAC